AAAUAUCAGGGCAAAGGUAGAAUGAAGAGUGCUUUGUAAUCUAAUCAACCUAAAAAGAAAGGUCCAUACAAGAGAAAAGCUUUUAAAGAAUCCAAUUCAAAUGCAUAUGAGAUGAACGGACCAUCAACAAGAUAUGCACAAACUCAAGGACAUAUUGGAAUGCCAAGUCAAAACCAAUUCAAUAUGGCACCCGUAAGUCAAGUCACACAUUUUCCUUAUAGAUUUCCAAUUGUUCCUUGUGUUCAAGGGAUUCAAAAGCAGCCAGUUCAAGGGAUUCAAAAUCACCAACCUGGAUUUCAAGCUAUAAGUCCCAUGAUGUCCAAUUACUCAUUUAUGA